GCGUGGAGAAAGGGAGAAGGUUAGACUCCCCUUGAGAAGGAUGGAAGAGGUCCUAGUGGCCUAUACAACACAUAUACGGUUAAGGCAUUGCCACCGACUUCGUGGCAUCGAACCAAGUUUUAUU